UGCCAGCCGCCGCGGUAAUACGGAGGAUCCAAGCGUUAUCCGGAAUCAUUGGGUUUAAAGGGUCCGUAGGUGGUUUACUAAGUCAGAGGUGAAAUCCUAUCGCUUAACGAUAGAACUGCCUUUGAUACUGAUAGACUUGAGUUAUUGUGAAGUAGUUAGAAUGUGUAGUGUAGCGGUGAAAUGCAUAGAUAUUACACAGAAUACCAAUUGCGAAGGCAGAUUACUAACAAUAUACUGACACUGAGGGACGAAAGCGUGGGUAGCGAACAGGAUUAGAUA
rnacentral:rRNA from 1 species